AUUGAACGCUGGCGGCAGGCCUAACACAUGCAAGUCGAGCGGAUGAAGGGAGCUUGCUCCUGGAUUCAGCGGCGGACGGGCGAGUAAUGCCUAGGAAUCUGCCUGUUAGUGGGGGAUAACGUCCGGAAACGGGCGCUAAUACCGCAUACGUCCUGAGGGAGAAAGUGGGGGAUCUUCGGACCUCACGCUAUCAGAUGAGCCUAGGUCGGAUUAGCUAGUUGGUGGGGUAAAGGCCUACCAAGGCGACGAUCCGUAACUGGUCUGAGAGGAUGAUCAGUCACACUGGAACUGAGACACGGUCCAGACUCCUACGGGAGGCAGCAGUGGGGAAUAUUGGACAAUGGGCGAAAGCCUGAUCCAGCCAUGCCGCGUGUGUGAAGAAGGUCUUCGGAUUGUAAAGCACUUUAAGUUGGGAGGAAGGGCAGUAAGUUAAUACCUUGCUGUUUUGACGUUACCAACAGAAUAAGCACCGGCUAACUUCGUG
rnacentral:rRNA from 1 species